GCUGGCAUCAGACCCCAAGAAUCAUCAUUCUCCAUAGUCAUCCAGAGCCCCGGGCAGGACCACGCAGCAUAUCAGAAAUGAGAACUUCAUUCACCCUGCAGCCUGGUAAAACCCGGUGGCAUGCCUGCAGAUGCCACAAGCUGUUAGCAAAUCUCUUCAAUUCUAUGAUCACCAGGAACCUACUAUCCUGCCUCUUGGGUUGAAGCAGCAGAUGUCUGAAGCUGAGAGCUGGGUGUCUUGGUCCUGUGGGGGACUUUCAGGCAUCACCAUGGAAAGUUUUAUACAUUCGUCAUCAAGAUCCCACCCUCUAAUCCUGUCUCCUGGAAGUCCAAGAUGGAACAAGACUCCCAGAUGAAAUCAGCAACACUCUCAUUGAAGCAGAAGCGGGGACCCAGAAUUUGGCCUCUGCUCCACCCACCCCCAGCCCCAUGAAGGAAGCCUAGAAAUGCAAAGGACACCAUCUGGAAAACCAGCACCCAAACAUCUAAAGUGUGGCAGUGUC